rnacentral:misc_RNA from 1 species
CUGAAUAGCACAAUAACAACAACUAUUAAACCUCACAUGACAUUUGCUCUGAAUAGCAAAUGCACAGAUUCAACAAUUAAUCUUAUGGAUGGAAUGGAUAAUUACUCCCUGGUUAACAGGACAAAAAAUGAAAUAGUAUCUGAUAAACAUAGAAAAAAUGGAAAGAAACAUUAUCGACCAGAGAUCCACUGACACAAUAAUAUUACUGCAUAACAUUUUGG